AUACGAAGGGGGCUAGCGUUGUUCGGAAUUACUGGGCGUAAAGCGCGCGUAGGCGGAUUGGUCAGUUAGGGGUGAAAUCCCAGGGCUUAACCCUGGAACUGCCUCUAAUACUGCCAGUCUUGAGUUCGCGAGAGGUGAGUGGAAUUCCUAGUGUAGAGGUGAAAUUCGUAGAUAUUAGGAAGAACACCAGUGGCGAAGGCGGCUCACUGGCCCGAUACUGACGCUGAGGCGCGAAAGCGUGGGGAGCAAACAGAAUUAGAAACCCUAGUAGUCC
rnacentral:rRNA from 1 species